GACGAACGCUGGCGGCGUGCAUAACACAUGCAAGUCGAACGGAAAGGCCCUGCUUUUGUGGGGUGCUCGAGUGGCGAACGGGUGAGUAACGCGUGAGUAACCUGCCCUUGACUUUGGGAUAACUUCAGGAAACUGGGGCUAAUACCGGAUAGGAGCUCCUGCUGCAUGGUGGGGGUUGGAAAGUUUCGGCGGUUGGGGAUGGACUCGCGGCUUAUCAGCUUGUUGGUGGGGUAGUGGCUUACCAAGGCUUUGACGGGUAGCCGGCCUGAGAGGGUGACCGGCCACAUUGGGACUGAGAUACGGCCCAGACUCCUACGGGAGGCAGCAGUGGGGAAUAUUGCACAAUGGGCGGAAGCCUGAUGCAGCAACGCCGCGUGCGGGAUGACGGCCUUCGGGUUGUAAACCGCUUUCGCCUGUGACGAAGCGUGAGUGACGGUAAUGGGUAAAGAAGCACCGGCUAACUACGUG
rnacentral:rRNA from 1 species